UACAUGGGGUGCAAACGUUGCUCGGAAUUAUUGGGCGUAAAGCGCACGUAGGCGGUUCGUUAAGUCGGAUGUGAAAGCCCUCGGCUCAACUGAGGAAGUGCACCCGAAACUGGCGAGCUUGAGUACGAAAGAGGAUCGCGGAAUUCCCGGUGUAGAGGUGAAAUUCGUAGAUAUCGGGAGGAACACCGGUGGCGAAGGCGGCGAUCUGGGUCGAUACUGACGCUGAGGUGCGAAAGCGUGGGGGAGCAAACAGGG
rnacentral:rRNA from 1 species